AUAGGAAGGAAAUGGGCUUAACUGAAUGUUGAAAAUUUCAAGUUAGUCCUUUAAGAGAACGUCAUCAUGAAAGGGUGUAAGAAAUUGGAACAUUUUAUUAAGAGAGUUCACAGAAUUUCGAACUUUUAUUAUGGAUCUAGAAUACACCUUUGCCCUCUGAACGAGCGAGAGUACACAAGGCCUUUGACUCAGACGAAAUUAAUUGCAUGAACACAAAGGGGAGCUAUGGCUGGAAUGAUGCAGGGAGAGGAAGGAAUAAAAAUCUAGAAGUUGGACUCGAGGAAGACUUCAGAAAGUACUUAUUGGCCUGGAAGAGAGCAGUUUGAUGGACUGGGAAGAGUACUGGAGUGGAAUAUGACCUAUGUGUCCAGCUUC
rnacentral:lncRNA from 1 species